UUGUUCUCUAGCGGCGCCAAAUUAACACUACGGUGCAGACUUGCUGAUCCUGCUCCUCCUGUCCUCCAUGGCAUUUGUAGGGCUAACUCUGCAUUCUUGUUCAAUUAUCUAAGCUAUUGACCCUCUCGACCGGAGCUCAAAUCAGAUUAUUUGUUCUGCUUCAGUUUACUGUCGGUCAAUUGUUUCCGUAGCCGGGAAUUUCUGUAAGUUAAGGAACUUAGCACUUGAGAGAUGGGGGAACUGGCAGCUGAGAAACAUGUUAAAUACAUCAUAUCUGUUGAAAAGAGAAAGGAUGAUUUUCAAUCCGUAAUGAUGGAACAUCUUAGAAUGAAUGGUGCAUACUGGGGGUUGACCGCACUGGAUAUUCUUGGAAAGCUCAAUACCGUUGAUGUUGAUGAGGUUGUUUCAUGGGUCUUGAAAUGUCAGCACCAGUCAGGUGGUUUUUCUGGCAAUAUUGGACACGAUCCUCAUAUACUUUACACCCUUAGUGCUGUUCAAGUCUUAGCCCUCUUUGACAGGUUGAGCGUUUUAGAUGUCGAUAAGGUGACAAAUUAUAUUGCUGGUUUGCAAAAUGAAGAUGGUUCCUUUUCAGGGGAUAUUUGGGGUGAAGUAGAUUCAAGGUUUUCUUAUAUUGCAAUAUCUUGUCUGUCAUUGUUACAUCAAUUGGAGAAAAUCAAUGUUGAGAAGGCUGUGAACUACAUUGCUAGUUGCAAAAAUAUGGAUGGGGGAUUUGGAUGCACGCCCGGUGGAGAGUCUCACUCUGGACAAAUUUUCUGUUGUGUUGGCGCUCUUGCCAUAACGGGAUCUCUACACCAUAUUGACAAGGAUCUUCUUGGCUGGUGGUUAUGCGAGCGACAAGUCAAAUCUGGAGGUCUUAAUGGUCGCCCUGAGAAACUUCCUGAUGUCUGCUAUUCAUGGUGGGUUCUUUCAAGCUUGAUCAUGAUUGACAGAGUUCACUGGAUUGAUAAGGAAAAACUCGUCAAGUUCAUCUUAGACUGCCAGGACACGGAAAAUGGCGGUAUUUCAGACAGACCGGAUGAUGCCGUUGAUGUCUAUCAUACAUACUUUGGAGUAGCAGGCCUCUCACUUCUUGAAUAUCCAGGUCUAAAAGCCAUUGAUGCAGCUUAUGCUUUACCAGUUGAUGUCGUGAACAAGAUUUUCUUGGGCAAAAAAUAGUAUUACCUAAUCCGUAGAUCUUUUAUUCUCUAAUAUGGAAAAUGGCAGCAGUAGCUCUCUGAUCAGGAUUUAUCCAAAGUUCACUGAUCUCUCUGAGAAAUUGAGAGUGGUCCAUCCAUUAAUGGGCGUGGUCUGAAGUUAGGGCAAUGAAUAAUAAAUAUGCAGAGCUGGUAAGCUCCUGAAAGAGUGUCCACUGACUUUGAGAGACUGCCAUCACCAUCAUUAAUCACAGUAAGACAUCAUCCCUUCGCCAUGCCCACGCCGUCUCAAGCGCGCAAAAAAAUGUCGUGCCACCUGCUUUGCACAACCCGUGGGACUAGCUUGUUUGCACUCCGGGGAAUCGAUCUCAGGGAAACCACCUUCUUCCCCGCUAUCAAGGUACGGAUGUCUUAAGAUCAAAACCUUUAUCGAUUAACAUAUUCUUAACCUCUUCUGAAUCCGUUUCCAAGUGGGCAACCACUAUUACUCCAAAUUGACCUUGUAUCGAAUUUUCUAGAGAAUCAAAUAUUGUGCAGUUAGACAAUUAUCUCAUAAGACCUUCGAUCUGGACCUGGACAUUCCAAUUCUGAAAAACCCUAUGGCUCGAAGGAUUCAACUUUGUUACGAAGAAUUAUGAUAAGAGACCGACCGACAAGACAGGAGUUACAGAGAGAAAUUGGGGUACUUUUAAGAAGAUUAUAGGCAAUUUUUGAAUGUGGGAAAAAGAAAAGGUUAACUUUUUCUAA